CCUGGUGGCUCAGAUGGUAGAGAAUCUGCCUGCAAUGCAGGAGACCCAGGUUUCACUCCUGGGUCAGGA
rnacentral:tRNA from 1 species